rnacentral:rRNA from 1 species
AACGAACGCUGGCGGCAUGCCUAACACAUGCAAGUCGAACGAAACCUUCGGGCCUUGUUGCGCACCGGUGCGUGCCGCCGGGGAACCUACACUUAAGUUCCGAAUCCUUCCCUGUAGGGGGUGUUAAUGACGCUUAAUCUAAUCCGAGCAAAGAUGUCUCGCCGUUGGGUGGGCGCGCGUUAGAUUAGCCGGUUGGUAGGGGAAAAGCAUGUCAAGGGGACGAUGCUUAGCUGGUUUGAGAGGAAGAUCUUCCACGCUUGGCCUGAGACACGGACGAGACUCCUACGGGAGGGAGCAGUGGGGAAUAUUGGACGAUGGGCGAAAGCGUGAUCCAGCAAUGCCGCGUAAGUGAUGAAGGCGGUAGUGUUGUGCAGCUCUUUUACCCGGGAUGAUAAUGACAGUACCGGGAGAAUAAGCACCGGCUAACUCCGUG